rnacentral:rRNA from 1 species
UACGUAGGGGGCUAGCGUUGUCCGGAUUUAUUGGGCGUAAAGAGCUCGUAGGCGGUUUGUCACGUCUGCUGUGAAAACUGGAGGCUCAACCUCCAGCCUGCAGUGGGUACGGGCAGACUAGAGUGCGGUAGGGGAGAUUGGAAUUCCUGGUGUAGCGGUGGAAUGCGCAGAUAUCAGGAGGAACACCGAUGGCGAAGGCAGAUCUCUGGGCCGUAACUGACGCUGAGGAGCGAAAGCGUGGGGAGCGAACAGG